AUGAACUCUGAAGCUACAUGAAGUUUGGAGGUGUGUAGUGAUGAUGAUCUAAUCUGAAGCUACAUGAAGUUUGGAGGUGUGUAGUGAUGAUGAUCUAAUCUGAAGCUACAUGAAGUUUGGAGGUGUGUAGUGAUGAACUCUGAAGCUACAUGAAGUUUGGAGGUGUGUAGUGAUGAACUAAUCUGUAGCUACAUUAAGUUUGGAGGUGUGUAGUGAUGAACUCUGAAGCUACAUGAAGUUUGGAGGUGUGUAGUGAUGAACUCUGAAGCUACAUGAAGUUUGGAGGUGUGUAGUGAUGAUCUUAUCUGAAGCUACAUGAAGUUUGGAGGUGUGUAGUGAAGAACUAAUCUGUAGCUACAUGAAGUUUGGAGGUGUGUAGUGAUGAUGAUCUAAUCUGAAGCUACAUGAAGUUUGGAGGUGUGUAGUGAUGAACUAAUCUGAAGCUACAUGAAGUUUGGAGGUGUGUAGUGAUGAACUAAUCUGAAGCUACAUGAAGUUUGGAGGUGUGUAGUGAUGAACUCUGAAGCUACAUGAAGUUUGGAGGUGUGUAGUGAUGAACUAAUCUGAAGCUACAUGAAGUUUGGAGGUGUGUAGUGAUGAACUAAUCUGAAGCUACAUGAAGUUUGGAGGUGUGUAGUGAUGAACUCUGAAGCUACAUGAAGUUUGGAGGUGUGUAGUGAUGAACUAAUCUGAAGCUACAUGAAGUUUGGAGGUGUGUAGUGAUUGGUGUAGUGACU